GGAGAAGAAAAGGUAUGGGGAGGAUGCUCACCAGGACUCACAGCUGUCUGGAUUUGGUUCUUAGGAAUUCCUGGUGGAGAUCAAAGUUAGAUGUCAUCUUAUCGGAAGUUAUUUGGUAACACUUUCAAAGAAAUAAUGUUCAGGGGGCUGGAGAGACAGCUCAGAGGUUAAGAGCACUGACUGCUCUUCCAGAGGACCUGAGUUCAAUUCCCAGCAACCACAUGGUGGCUCACAACCAUCUGUAAUGGGAUCUGGUACCCUCUUCUGGUGUGUCUGAAGACAGUGACAGUGU
rnacentral:lncRNA from 1 species